UACGUAGGGGGCAAGCGUUGUCCGGAAUCAUUGGGCGUAAAGAGCGCGUAGGCGGUCCGGUAAGUCCGCUCUGAAAGUCCGGGGCUCAACCCCGGGAGGCGGGCGGAUACUGUCGGGCUAGAGUCCGGAAGAGGCGAGUGGAAUUCCUGGUGUAGCGGUGAAAUGCGCAGAUAUCAGGAGGAACACCGAUGGCGAAGGCAGCUUGCUGGGACGGUACUGACGCUGAGGCGCGAAAGCGUGGGGAGCAAACAGG
rnacentral:rRNA from 1 species